CUUUCAUUCAUGAUGCUCUGCUGAGAAAAUGGUUUGGACAAGACAAGUGAGUCAGGAGAAAAUGGCCCACAAUACGGCUGAAUGAACUUAGAUGAAUGGUGGAGUGCCCGACAUCUAUCUCUUCAUCCAGUCUGAGGAGAGAAUUCAUGUUUUAGUGGGAGAGGACCAUGACUGUUUAGAUGGUGAUGCCAAGACCUCCAUGUCCUAGCAACUGAGUAUCAACCUCCACCCACGAGAGACCUGCCACUCUGGAUAUCAUCUCCUCCAUUUUCACAAUAUUUCCCCAACUGUCUCACCAUUGCCCACAUCUUUCAGGGCCUGGGAAAAUUCAGCCCAAUAUCUUUGGACCUUUCUUUUAUCUCUUUCCAUAAAGCUAUAGCACAGAAGGAGACCAUUCAGCCUAUCAUUUCCCUUUGCGAAAGCAAACAUGCUUUGACCCCCAGCCCCUGUAAAAUAAUCCUAAAAAUUCCUCAUCAUCAAGGAACUGCCCAGCUCCCUUUAAAAAUUAUUCACGGAGUCAGUUCCCACCAUCUUUCAGAUAGUGCAUUCUUGAUCUCGACCACGCUCUGAUUGAAAAACAUAUUAAAGUUGUUAUCAGACUGGCUGUAUAAUUGCUUACAAUGAAUCAGUGGGCCUAUCACAA